UUCUCCUACGUCAUAAAGAAGUGAGAAUUGCAGACAUUGCAUUGUACAACUGGGGACUCUAUUUUUGACAAAGGAAAUAACAUUUGAAAGUCCAGUCCAGGGGGCUAGACCGUCAAGACUAUGUGCAGCAGGAUUGCGAGGCUCUGAAUGACUUUGCUGCUCUGCAAGCAGGGAUUUAGCUCAUGGAAAGUUCACGCGAAUUCACCAACGGAAGACAUCAAAUACAGCUAGUUUGCAUA